CUCUUGACCACUGUGUCGUAGAGUUAGGUAACUCUCCUAUCCUACAUUCAGGAGUGUUCUCCUCUUGACCACUGUGUCGUAGAGUUAGGUAACUCUCUCCUAUCCUACAUUCAGGAGUGUUUUCCUCUUGACCACUGUGUCGUAGAGUUAGGUAACUCUCCUAUCCUACAUUCAGGAGUGUUCUCCUCUCUGACCACUGUGUCGUAGAGUUAGGUAACUCUCUCCUAUCCUACAUUCAGGAGUGUUUUCCUCUCUGACCACUGUGUCGUAGAGUUAGGUAACUCUCUCCUAUCCUACAUUCAGGAGUGUUUUCCUCUUGACCACUGUGUCGUAGAGUUAGGUAACUCUCUCCUAUCCUACAUUCAGGAGUGUUUUCCUCU